rnacentral:rRNA from 1 species
GAUGAACGCUGGCGGCGUGCUUAACACAUGCGAGUCGAACGGUGAACACGGAGCUUGCUCUGUGGGAUCAGUGGCGAACGGGUGAGUAACACGUGAGCAACCUGCCCCUGACUCUGGGAUAAGCGCUGGAAACGGCGUCUAAUACUGGAUAUGUGACGUGACCGCAUGGUCUGCGUUUGGAAAGAUUUUUCGGUUGGGGAUGGGCUCGCGGCCUAUCAGCUUGUUGGUGAGGUAAUGGCUCACCAAGGCGUCGACGGGUAGCCGGCCUGAGAGGGUGACCGGCCACACUGGGACUGAGACACGGCCCAGACUCCUACGGGAGGCAGCAGUGGGGAAUAUUGCACAAUGGGCGCAAGCCUGAUGCAGCAACGCCGCGUGAGGGAUGACGGCCUUCGGGUUGUAAACCUCUUUUAGCAGGAAAGAAGCGAAAGUGACGGUACCUGCAGAAAAAGCGCCGGCUAACUACGUG